UUAGUUUAGUUGUUAGUUAAGUGAUUACGGGAUCAAGGCCCGUUGACUC
rnacentral:tRNA from 1 species